GUCCCUGUAGCACAAUGGAUAGCGCGUUGGACUUCUAAUCCAAAGGUCGUGGGUUUGAACCCAACCUGGGAUU
rnacentral:tRNA from 1 species